rnacentral:rRNA from 1 species
UACAGGGUGGGCCMAUGCCGUUUAUUUCCGUAUUUUAUGGKCGUUAAAGCGCGCGCAGSUSGRUMUGCUAAGUUCUGAUKGUGAAGCSCACGGCUCRACCGUGGAAGGGUUCAUUGGAWASUGGAGACUUGAGUGCAGAWGAGGAAAAGUGGAAUUCCAUGUGUAGCGGUGAAAUGCGUAGAGAUAUGGAGGAACACCAGUGGCGAAGGCGACUUUSUGGUCUGUAACUGWCACUGAGGCGCGAAAGCGUGGGGAGCAAACAGGAUUUAGAUACCSUGGUAGUCCASGCCGURAACGAUGAGUGMUAAGUGUUAGAGGGUUUCCGCCCUUUAGUGCUGAAGUUAACGCAUUAAGCACUCCGCCUGGGGAGUACGGCCGCAAGGCUGAAACUCAAAGGAAUUGACGGGGGCCCGCACAAGCGGUGGAGCAUGUGGUUUAAUUCGAAGCAACGCGAAGAACCUUACCAGGUCUUGACAUCCUCUGAAAACCCUAGAGAUAGGGCUUYUCCUUCGGGAGCAGAGUGACAGGUGGUGCAUGGUUGUCGUCAGCUCGUGUCGUGAGAUGUUGGGUUAAGUCCCGCAACGAGCGCAACCCUUGAUYUUAGUUGCCAUCAUUAAGUUGGGCACUYUAAGGUGACUGCCGGUGACAAACCGGAGGAAGGUGGGGAUGACGUCAAAUCAUCAUGCCCCUUAUGACCUGGGCUACACACGUGCUACAAUGGACGGUACAAAGAGCUGCAAGACCGCGAGGUGGAGCUAAUCUCAUAAAACCGUUCUCAGUUCGGAUUGUAGGCUGCAACUCGCYUACAUGAAGCUGGAAUCGCUAGUAAUCGCGGAUCAGCAUGCCGCGGUGAAUAYGUUCCCGGGCCUUGUAWACWCCGCWCCGGUCUWCUACCCCAASCCKGGAA